UACGGAGGGUGCAAGCGUUAAUCGGAAUUACUGGGCGUAAAGCGUGCGUAGGUGGUUUGUUAAGUUAGCUGUGAAAUUCCUGGGCUUAACCUGGGCUGGUCAGCUAAUACUGAUGAACUGGAGUAUGGGAGAGGGUAGUGGAAUUUCCGGUGUAGCGGUGAAAUGCGUAGAGAUCGGAAGGAACACCAGUGGCGAAGGCGGCUACCUGGCCUAAUACUGACACUGAGGCACGAAAGCGUGGGGAGCAAAC
rnacentral:rRNA from 1 species